GAUGAACGCUAGCGGCAGGCCUAACACAUGCAAGUCAGGGGUAACAUAGGAAAGCUUGCUUUUCUGAUGACGACCGGCGCACGGGUGCGUAACGCGUAUACAACCUACCUUUUAGCGGGGAAUAGCCCAGGGAAACUUGGAUUAAUGCCCCAUAGUAUAUAGACUUCUCCUGAAGUUUAUAUUAAACAUUUAUGGCUAUUAGAUGGGUAUGCGUCCUAUUAGUUAGUUGGUAAGGUAACGGCUUACCAAGGCAGCGAUAGGUAGGGGUCCUGAGAGGGAGAUCCCCACACUGGUACUGAGACACGGACCAGACUCCUACGGGAGGCAGCAGUGAGGAAUAUUGGACAAUGGGCGAGAGCCUGAUCCAGCCAUGCCGCGUGCAGGAAGACUGCCCUAUGGGUUAUAAACUGCUUUUACAGAGGAAGAACCACCCCACGUGUGGGGGUUUGACGGUACUCUGCGAAUAAGGAUCGGCUAACUCCGUG
rnacentral:rRNA from 1 species